rnacentral:rRNA from 1 species
UGCCAGCAGCCGCGGUAAGACGAACCGGACGAACGUUAUUCGGAAUCACUGGGCUUAAAGAGUGCGUAGGCGGCUUGGCAAGUUGGGUGUGAAAUCCCUCGGCUCAACCGAGGAACUGCGCUCAAAACUGCUAGGCUUGAGGGAGAUAGAGGAGAGCGGAACUGAUGGUGGAGCGGUGAAAUGCGUUGAUAUCAUCAGGAACACCGGUGGCGAAAGCGGCUCUCUGGGUCUCUUCUGACGCUGAGGCACGAAAGCUAGGGGAGCGAACGGGAUUAGAUA